CCAUUAUAAUCGUUCUUUGCAUUAUUUUGUAUGAUUCUACAUGGAUGCCUCAGGAAAGUUUGUGGUUGAAGAAGUUUACAAUUUCUCUCAGGACGAUCUCUUGACAGAAGAUAUUUUGAUACUUGACACACAUGCUGAAGUGUUUGUUUGGGUUGGUAAGUGUGUAGACCCCAAAGAAAAGCAAAACACCUUUGAAGUUGGCCAAAAAUAAAUUGACAUGGUUGCAUCUCUAGAAGGCUUGUCCCCACUUAUUCCACUUUACAAAGUUACCGAAAGAAACUAACCCUUCUUCU